rnacentral:rRNA from 1 species
AUGCAGACACUCCAGCUUCCCAACAAGACACACAGUAAGAUAUCGCACAUACCUUCCCUUGGCCUUGCUCUUGUGCUGCUGAUAUGCUUGGCCGCUCCUACCAGUUCCUGCACCGAGCAGGAGAAGGGCUUCCUUCUCCAGUUCCUAGCCGGGCUUUCACAAGACGGUGGUCUUGCUGCCUCCUGGCACCAUGGCACGGAUUGCUGCCAGUGGGAAGGGAUCACUUGCAGGCAAGAUAGGACGAUCACCGAUGUCUUGCUGGCCUCAAAGGGCCUUGAGGGGCACAUCUCAGGGUCCCUUGGGAACCUAACCGGGCUGCAGCAUCUUAACCUCUCCCACAACUCACUGUCCGGUGGUCUGCCACUGGAAUUGGUAUCGUCCAGCAUCAUUGUCCUUGACAUCAGCUUUAAUCAGCUCAACGGAACACUGCUAGAGCUGCCAACAUCGACCGCUGCCUGGCCACUCAAGGUAUUGAACAUCUCGAGCAACUUGUUUACAGGACAGUUGCAAUCCACCACAUGGAAAGUGAUGAAGAAUCUGGUCACGCUCAAUGCAAGCAACAAUAGCUUUACUGGGCAGAUACCAACUCAUUUCUGUAAUACCUCACCAUCCUUCUCUGUGCUUGAUCUGUGUUUCAACCGCUUCAGUGGCAGCAUCCCCCAAGGCCUUGGUGGUUGUUCAAAGCUGAGAGAGCUCAGGGCUGGGUACAACAACCUCAGUGGAACAGUCCCGGAUGAAGUGUUCAAUGCUACUUCGCUGGAAUACCUGUCUUUUUCUAACAAUGAUUUACAUGGAGUUCUUGAUGGUGCACACAUACUCAACCUCAGAAAUCUGUCUACCCUUGAUCUAGGAGGAAACAAUUUCGGUGGCAACAUUCCAGAUUCCAUAGGCCAGCUCAAGAAAUUGGAGGAGCUCCAUUUGGACAACAACAAAUUGUCAGGGGAGCUGCCAUCAGCUCUAAGCAACUGCACAAAUCUCAUAACAAUUGACCUCAAGAAAAACAAUUUCAAUGGACAGCUCACCAAGGUCAAUUUCUCCAACCUGCCCAAUCUAAAAACAUUAGACCUUCUAGAGAACAACUUCACUGGCACAAUUCCAGAAACUAUAUACUCUUGCAGCAAUCUGACAGCACUGCGGCUGACUCGCAACCAUUUAGAUGGGCAGCUUUCACCACGAAUUGGCGAUCUGAAGUACCUCAGCUUCCUAUCACUUGCUGAAAAUUCUUUCAGAAACAUCACAAAUGCACUUCGGAUCCUUAAGAGCUGCAGGAACCUUACCACCCUGCUUAUCGGGGGAAAUUUCAGGGGAGAGCUCAUGCCAGAGGAUGACAUUCUUGAUGGUUUUCAGAAUCUUCAGGUUCUUGCGAUAAAUGGGUGCUCAUUGUUGGGAAAAAUACCUCGUUGGUUAUCAAAGAUAACAAACUUGGAAAUGUUAUUUUUACAUAGCAAUCAACUUACUGGGCCGAUACCUGACUGGAUCAGCAGCCUAAAUUUCCUCUUCUGCCUAGACAUAAGUAAUAACAGCCUCACCGGGGAAAUUCCAACAGCACUGAUGGAUAUGCACAUGCUGAAGUCAGAAAUGACUAAAGUCCAUUUGGAUCCAAGUAUCUUUGAGCUUCCAGUUUAUACAGGCCCUUCAUUUCAAUACCAAUACCGUGUACCCACUGCAUUCCCUAAAUCGCUGGAUUUAAGCAACAAUAAAUUCACUGGUGAGAUACCCUUGAAUAUCGGUCAGUUGAAAGGCCUCCUGUCAGUCAAUUUGAGCUUCAACGACUUGACAGGACAGAUACCACAAUCAAUAUGCAAGCUCACAAAACUGCAGGAGCUAGACUUGUCCAGCAACAAUCUCACAGGUGGUAUCCCAGCUGCAUUGAGCAACCUGAACUUUCUUUCAGCAUUCAACAUUUCACACAAUGACCUAGAAGGGCCUAUUCCAUCUGGAGGCCAGUUUAAUACAUUUCAAAAUUCUAGUUUUGAUGGGAAUCCAAAGCUCUGUGGCACUGUGCUCACUGAGAAAUGUCGUCCAGGAUCAACACCUUUAGUUCCCAGAAAACAAGGAGAUAAGAAGGCCAUUUUUGCAAUUGCAUUUGGUGUGUUCUUUGGAGGUAUUGCUAUUCUUUUGUUGCUGGGGCGUCUCCUUGUCUCAGUCGGGAUGAAAGGUUUUACAGGAAAAAAUCGAUGGGAGAAUAACGAAGGUAAUGAAGGAACUUCAUUCUACUCCAGUUCAGUGCAAACACUAGUGGCGAUGCGGAUGCCACAAGGAAAGGGAGAAGAAAACAAGCUCCAAUUCACCGACAUUGUGAAAGCUACGAACAACUUUGACAAGGAGAACAUCAUAGGAUGUGGAGGUUAUGGAUUAGUCUACAAGGCAGAGCUACCUGAUGGCUCCAAGCUUGCAAUUAAAAAACUCUACGAUGAAAUGUGUCUGAUGGAAAGGGAGUUCACUGCAGAGGUUGAUGCUCUCUCCAUGGCACAACAUGAAAACCUCGUACCGCUGUGGGGUUACUGCAUCCAGGGGAACUCAAGGUUCCUCAUAUAUUCCUACAUGGAGAAUGGCAGCCUGGAUGACUGGCUCCAUAACAGAGAUGAUGGUGCUAGCUCAUUUCUUGACUGGCCGACACGGCUCAAGAUUGCACAAGGAGCAAGCCUGGGCCUUUCUUAUAUUCAUGAUGUCUGCGAGCCUCAUAUCGUCCACCGUGACAUUAAAUCCAGUAACAUCCUACUGGACAAAGAAUUCAAAGCUUAUGUUGCAGAUUUUGGGCUAGCCAGAUUGAUCCUUCCCAACAAAACUCAUGUUACAACUGAGUUGGUCGGCACUAUGGGUUACAUCCCUCCCGAGUACGGGCAAGCAUGGGUUGCUACUUUGAGAGGUGAUAUAUACAGUUUUGGAGUAGUCUUGCUUGAGCUGCUCACAGGAAGCAGACCUGUUCCAGUCCUGUCUACAUCAAAAGAACUUGUCCCAUGGGUUCGACAGAUGAGAUCUGAGGGUAAGCAGACUGAAGUCCUGGAUCCAACACUUCGAGGAAGAGGAUAUGAAGAGCAAAUGUUGAAAGUGCUUGAAACCGCUUGCAAGUGUGUUGAUAACAAUCAAUUCAGAAGGCCAGCUAUCACAGAAGUUGUCUCCUCCCUGGCCAGUAUAGAAGCUGACCCAUAG